rnacentral:rRNA from 1 species
UAGGGAAUCUUCCACAAUGGACGAAAGUCUGAUGGAGCAACGCCGCGUGAGUGAAGAAGGGUUUCGGCUCGUAAAACUCUGUUGUUAAAGAAGAACACGUAUGAGAGUAACUGUUCAUACGUUGACGGUAUUUAACCAGAAAGUCACGGCUAACUACGUACCAG